CUGUUAGAGGAAUGUGGGAGCAUCUCCUAGGGUAGCUUAGUGGCUUCUUUGCAGCUCAGGAACAUCCCUGUGAGUAGACAGUAUUUUGUACUUCUUCUCUCUAAGUUCUUUUUAAGUGGAUGAGCUAGAUUAGCUGUUUAAAACUUUUAGUUACAGAAAUAUUUCCCUCAUGUGCAGUAGUGUCCUGUUGCACUUCAGAUUUGUAUAAUAGUAGAUUGUUUCACUAGAGGAGCAAAUUGCAAUGGUAGCCACAUGCAUUGCCUUUUACAUUACUGUUGUUAUGUGUCUGAAAUGCCUCCCUGUCAGUUUAAUUUGAGAAACUUCAGGGACUGAACUGGGCAGUUAGUCAAGUGAGCUUCCACGUACCAUGUGGGCUCAGGCCUUGGAGCCUUCUUUGAAGAUGUACAGGGAAUAGGAAUGUGCAGCACCAGCAAGCAAUACGAAGCCUGUUGUCAGGGAGCCCACAGGCAGAGCAGUUCACACACAAACACACACGGGGGGGGGGGCUUGACAGUUAGUUUCUUUAUUAAGGAAAGCAAAAGAAAGAACACACGUAGACUUCUAAAGGGUAAUCCUGUCUUAAUGAAGCAGUUGUUUGAACUGGUGUGUAGCCCGUCCUUCACUCCCUAGCCCUCUGUGUCAGGCCUCUUCCUCUGUGCUCCUCUGUUGUGACAAGCUCCAAGGGACUCCCUCUAUGUCUGCUUGGCUUGCUGCUCAGCAACAUGCAAUAAGAGCCUCUUUCUAGGAGGGUGGGAGCUGUCAGAGUGGCUCUGUCAUCACUGUCGGUACCUGCGUCCAAACUGGAAACCUCCUUACUCUGUCCUGUUCUAGCAUUGCUUCUCACACUCCCCAGCUCAUCCCCUCCUCUGAGGUGUGGCCAGUGUCCCACCACCAAUCCCCAAGCUUGCAAUCCUCUUCCUCUGUGUCUUCUUGGGGGGGGGGGGCUCUUGGUUGGGCAGAUUCCACCACUCUUCCUCAUCCAGUCAGUCCUGUGGGUUGUUUGUGCUCAAUACUGAUGGUUGUAGAAACCUGUUGCUUGGCCACAGCAUCUGAGCUGAGCUAGGAUCUUAUUGCCCCAUGUUUUAUCAUUUAUCCUAUACCCUAUUUUACCACACACACUCUGCAAAGCAGGACUAAAAUAAAUACUGUUGUACGUCGUAUGCUACUUGUACAUUAUUUGCCUUUAUUUAUGAUCUUUUGCCACUUCAUUGUUUGUGUGUGUGUUUUAAGUUUUGUUCUCAGCUAGAGUAGACUUGCGUGAGUAACAAUAGAAAUGAACAGUUCUCAGAGGCUUGUGCUUUUAACUUGUGAUUACAUUGAGCACUGGUGAAAAUGGAAGAUGCUAAUUUCACAGCGUGGGAUGAGAGAUUCAGCAAGAUAGAAGAGCAAAGACUAUUUAGGAUUAGAAGUAACAGUAUGGCUGUGAGUGAAGUAAUGACGAUGAUUAUGUGAUAAUGGCACAGUUACAAUGCUUUAUGAGGCAGUAAUCUGGCUCCCCACUGGACAGUCUCGGCUUGCACCCUCAUACUUUAUCUCAAUAAGGGGAAUGGAUUGUUUCUGAGUAGCGCAGCAGGACGACAACAACAUUGCUUUCAUUUUACAAGCCAGUGCUUCGGCAAAAUGUGCAACACGCCAGAAUGGGAUGAAGUGAGAAUGGAGGCAAAAAAAUGGAGAACCAGUACUUGUGGCCCUUGGGGACACUUAUAUGUUAGUUGAAUGAAUAUGAGAUAUUUCAGAAGUCUAGGCAGCCAACUAAUUAAAGUUAAUUUGCUCUUUUACUUCUAAACAAUCACCCUGAUUAAUUGUCUUCUAACAUAACUCCAAAGGUAGGAAAGGAGACUUCUAGGUUCAGCUCUUGGUAGUUCUGUCAACUUUGGAACAGCAGGAAAUGACAUUCUGGGAGAGGACUUUCUGUUGGAGGUGCAGCAGCAAGGAUCAUUCACUUCAUAACUUAAAGGGUUAAUUCUGUUUUCACUGUUAAUAAACUACUCAAGAUGGGUGUGUGGAGGUAAUACUUAGCAACCAGUAAGCAUGAUCUUCACUGAGGUAACAUGUGCCUUGAUCAUCUUGUUCAGAGGGACUUUUUUGGCAUAUGUUUUCCCUGCUAUGUACAAGGCUUGAAACUAGGAAAGACAAAAAUCUUACUGAUUUAUUUGUAUUUAUAGUUUUGGACUAUAGUUCCUAUCAUCUCUGACCAUUGGUCAUGCUGGCUGGGGCUAAUGGUAGUUCAAAACAUUAGGAAGACAUCAGGUUGGAGAAGGCUGAUCUAGUUCAUCAUUCUGUUUCCAGGAGUGUCCAAAGUGACCAACUAAAUACCUCUGGGAAGGCACAAUAGUGAUCACCUCAGUCUCCAGCACUGGAAAUAUAUUGCUCCUAUAAGUGAUGUGUUUAUUCCUAGGUUAUUUAAUAUGUACAGAGCAUAAUGACCUUUAAUCCAUCUGAAAAACUCAUGGCAUCCCCAUGCUACCUAAGAGUGAGCUGUCACAGCAUGCACAAUAUACAUUAUAUUAAUGACUCAGUAUGUAUUAAUUACUUGAUAACAUGGAUAUGUGUAACUGCCUGCAUUACACAGUGUUAAUACUAAGUGGCUGUAUAGAUAGCAUCUGUUGAUUAGAGCUUCUUACAGAACAUCUUCAACUGGGAACAAACAUUACAAAAGUGGUAUGAUGGCUAGGUUCUACCUCCACUGCUAGAGGCAGUAUUCAUUUGAUGUGAGUUUCUUGGGUAUCACAAGUGGGGAGAGUGCUGUUGCAGCAUGCUUGCAGGCCUCCUAAAGGCAUCUAGUUGACUACUGUGAGAGCUGGAUAAUAACAAGCCUUUGGCUUGAUUCAGCAGGUUCUUACUACUUUAGAGGACCCUUUUUCUUUCUGUCCACCCCCCAGCAGCCUGUUCACCCCCCCAACACUUUUCUUUACAGCUAAGCUAUGACAUCAGAAGAACCUUUGGAGAGAAGGUCUGUGGAGAGGUAGGGUUGGGGGUUGAGACGGUGCUCUGCAUUCCUUAUCCUCACAACCCUUUGGCUGCUUAAGAUAGAUGCUGUCCCCCACGCCUCUUUCUACAUAAUUGGGGCAGCUCCAUGUUUAAACACACAGACUGCCUGUGAACAUAAUGUCUGGCAUUGGUAUGGAGCUACAAGUUUGAAUGUAUGAACUUACUCUAGAUAGGGCUGGUUAAUCUCCACUCAGUGAGCAUGCAUAGACAAUCACUGUACCACUCAUUGAUAAUAGGAGUAUGCCGCCCCCCCACAUAAAUAAGUAAAUAAAAACCAUCAUCACUUGAUACACAUGCUUGACUAACCUACCCUAAGCUCAGAGAGCUCAUCACAGCAUAGUUCGUUCUAUGGGUUGGCAAUUCAGAGUAAUGUUUAUUGGUGCCUACCAGUAAAGGAAGGAAGAAAAUUAGCAGGUAACUAUUUUGAUACCUAGGCCACGAAGGGUUAUAGUAUUAACUGGGGUAAGGAGGGCAUAGGAGCAGAGAACACAAUAAACAUUUCACAUCCUUUGCUUGAAAUCCCUUCUCUACCCUGACGUGGAGCACAGACAACCGGUAGCAAAUACUUAGUGCCAGAUUUUCCAGGAAGUAUUGUUUAAGCAAGGUUUUACUAGAAUAACUGGUUUGGCUAGAAUAAUUAUGUGAGAAAGUUAUUCAGAAACCCACCAGAUCUUUCGUAAAAUAGACAUGCAAUUUAGAUGGUGAUUGUUGUUGUUGUGAUUGUUAUUAGUAUCUUUGUUGUAGUUCACUGAUGGAUGUACUAGGGGGAGAAGGAACCAUUUUAGAUAAACAUCUCCUUAUGGUGAAAGAGGUUUGAAAUUAUGUGCAAACUAGGGAAAAUAGAUUUAAAUUUAACUGCAGCAACACUUUCAACUUGGUAGAUGAAUAAUGGUACAAAAAUAGCAAGGGAUUCUGAGGAAGAGCAUAUGUUCUUCAGCAAAUGAGAAGUGUAUGCAUAAAAAAGAAAUUAUAUAGAUAAACAUAACUUUCAGAAGGGAAGGUAUUUCUCUGACAAAUCAAUAGAAAAUGGACAUAGCAGUGAUGCCAAACUAGGAUGAUCACAUAAUGAUUCAUCCUUUCAUUAAAGGCUGAAUUGGGACCCCUACACCUCUGACUUUCUAAUAUUAGAAGUAUCUCACAGGGACUUGACUCUGAAAGAAGCCCCAGGCAGCAGUAAAUCAAUACACAAUACAAUUUUUAAAGAGUAUUUAAAAUCAUGUAUCUUCACAGCUAUAUCAUUUGAGUGUUUCCAGGAACAUUAUAUUUCAGCCAUCAAGUGCCCAGAUGAACAGAAAUGUUUUGAAUUCCAUAAAUGAAGGACCACUACUAAGGAGACCCUGUCAUGAGUCAGCUCCAUCCACAUACAAGCCUGUUUUGUUUUUUAAAUAAAUAUAGCAUCCCUGUUUCACCUGUUGUCCACCAGUUUUAUUGCCUGCCUAUCCAUUCCCAGGUCCAAUUUAAGGUGCUGUUUUUAAAGCCCUAAAUGGUUUGGGACCAGACUAGCUGAAGGGUUGCAUUUGUACCAGACUGCCCAGGCAUUGAAAUAAAGAUUUAAAGCCCUCCUCUCUGAUCUACCCGUGAGAGCUGUGGAAUUAGCAAGUACCAGGAAUGGGUUCUUUUCUAUGGUGGCGCCACAUCUUUGAAGUAUACUUCUCCCAAGAAGUAUAUUGUAUGCCCCUCUUUUUCUGGCCUUUUGGAGGAUUUUAAAGACCUAUUUAUUGCAGUCCGCAGUUGGUUAAUUUGGGUGUGCUGUGUUUUCAGUUGUGGUUUAAUCUCAUGCUUGAUACCUUAUUUGUUAGUUUAAUGAUUCAUGUGUUGACUACAUAUAGUUCUUUUUUGGUUUGAUUAUUUACUCUAAUAGCAUACUUUAUUUACUAUACUUUAAAGCUUGUUGUAAUCCACUUUGUACAGGGUUUUCUUUGACUCAGAAAAGUAGGCUAGAAAUCUAUUAAAUAAAUAAAUAUUACUGCUACUACUGAUAAUAAUAUUUGGCACAAUUUAAAAUCUCUGCUCGGAAAUGCAAAAUAAGGAGAAUAGUUACUUUGCAUGCCAGUGGAGGUAUUUUAGAUUCUGUCUCUUUCCACUUUUGGCUCUUCUUUCUUUUCAGUUGACCAGAACGCUCAUCUCUUCUUUGCAAUCAUUUUUCAUAGGAGAACAUUUGCAAUUGUGGUGGGUUUUUUUUAGUAAAAUAAUUAUCCACAGAUGUCAUUGAUUAGCCUUUCUCCUCCCAUGCUGAGAAUGUGAGAGAUACUGAGGAUCCAAUCUAGAUGGCACAUGAACAAGAAAGAGCCCCUUGCAAAAGGUCACAUUAUUUCAUUCUCAGAUACUGGUAGAAAACUUACAGCUCUUUUUCUCUUUGUUAUUUAAGCUCUUUGGUAAAUGAGACAUCAAACACAGGGGGCAGGAUCCUAUUAAGCACUUGCUAUCAGUGCUCCAACCCUCAUGCAUGAGUUGCUGAUACGCAUGGAUACAACUAUGAGGUUUAAUUUAUUGGAGGAAGAAUGAACGAGGAUUCAUGUCUUCACUCUGUGUUUCAUUUCAAAAGUUUUAUUGAAAUGUGCAGCUCUUCUGUAGCAGUUUUAUCACCUGGCACUCCACUCAUCUUUUGCCGUUCUCACCAAGUGCAUGGUGUAUGAGGUCAGAUCAUGCUGUGAGAAAAAAGGAGAUGUACGCUAAUGAGAAACAAUAUUAUC